CCAUGUGGGAGUGCGGUGACUUAACUACUAUUCCAUCUGCUGGUCUCAUGACUAUUUUUUUGACAGCUCCCUGCCAUUCAGGUGCAUAAGCCCUUUGGCACAUUAAAAGAAAAGAGAGUGCAAUGACAAUGGAAGAACUCGGUCUCCCUGCUUGGAUCCAGGUUGUCUCUUGGUUCUGAAUGUAUUUCCAUGGAAGUUGAACUCAUCUCCUGGCAAAACAAGUGUGUUGUUAAUGCAUAUACAGCAAGAGCCUGACAUAUCCAAGCACUCGGUAAAUACUCAUUUAAUUGCA